UGUGGGAGCGAGCUUGCUCGCGAUGACGGUUGGACAGUCACACAAGGGGUGCCUGACAGUCCGCCAUCGCGAGCAAGCUCGCUCCCACA
rnacentral:misc_RNA from 1 species